rnacentral:tRNA from 1 species
GGGAAGGUAGCUCAGUGGUAGAGUGCUUGCAUUGCAUGCAUGAGGCCCUGGGUUCAAUUCCUCAGCACCA